GGUCUUAUAUUCAUUUAAUGAUGUUGGAUUGCAAAUCUGAAGGGAUAAAUUUAUUUAUUAAGGCUU
rnacentral:tRNA from 1 species